rnacentral:lncRNA from 1 species
AACUGUAUGCUGUUUUGAAGGAAGAAAGGAAGGAAGGAAGGAAGGAAGGAAAGAAAGAAAGAAAGAAAGAAAGAAAGAAAGAAAGAAAGAAAAAGAAAGAAAGAAAAGAAAAGAAAGGAAGGAAGGAAGGAGGGAAGGAAGGAAGGAAGGAAAGAAGGAAAGAAGGGAAGGAAGGAAGGACUGCUACGUUUUAUUUAUGAGGUGACAGCUCUUGCUGACAAUGGCAGAGAAUAAAAUGCUUCCAGAGGAAAUAAGAGAUCCAGGUGUCUGCUUUUGGCUUAUGUGAUGUCAGCAUCAGAGGAUGGAGCUAAGUGCCCAGAAGGAAGAGCCAAAAGCUGAAAAAUACAAUGAACAAAGGAAUCACUCCCAGAAAACAGAACAGCCCUAACCCCUACACCUGGAGAAGGGGCUCAUUGAUAUGCUCCCAGGGGCCUUUCACAGUCUUGUACUCCUGAGCUCACAGCGCUGUGGAAGACACUCAGUCUACACUACUGCUGAAUGGUUCCCAACUGACAGCACCAACUACCGGCCAGGUGAUUUCUUACAAUCAACUGUUAUUGGUGACACUUUUACAUCAAUAUUUG